UUUGUUUUGGUACAUUAAUAGGUUCAUUAGUCAGCAUAAUUCUCCAUUCCUUUUAGACAUCUCUUCCCCAUAAAUUUAUCAGCCUGGGAGCCACAUAAGUUUGAAAGAUCCUGGGUUGAUUUUCCAGCCCUGAGUAAGGUAGGGAAGAUGCACUUUCCAAUACCUGUUGAGAUGAACCAAACCCCAUUAACAAGGUGAUGACAGCUUUAGUGGACCAGAGGGGAGCCCAUUGUUCAAUGGCCAUAACAGACAUAUAGGCUAAAGACACAAAAGGUGCAUCCUGGAGAGGGGCUAUUGUGAUGGAGAAGUUAAUUUCUGGAUUUCACUCACAUAAGGAGCUAGGCAUUCAUCAAGCUUGGGCUUUUCCCUCCUGCAACAGCUGAUCACAAGGAAUUCCUUCCUAGUCCAGGUGGAAGUGUUGAGUCCCUGUCAAGCCAGGAUUUGCAUUCUGGUUAGGAAAUUUUGGGGCCAGCCCAGUGCUAGGCAGUUCCACUUCCCCUUGGGUGGGGCAGCAAGCCCUAUAAAGAGGUCCAUUGAUGCCUCUCGAGGACUAUCACACUCCUGCUACCAGAG
rnacentral:lncRNA from 1 species